rnacentral:rRNA from 1 species
UUUCCUACGGGAGGCUGCAGUGGGGAAUCUUGGACAAUGGGGGCAACCCUGAUCCAGCAAUGCCGCGUGUGGGAUGAAGGCCUUCGGGUUGUAAACCACUUUUGGCGGGGGCGAAAUAUCGAGUGCUAAUACCAUUCGGUGAUGACGGUACCCGCAGAAUAAGCACCGGCUAACUACGUGCCAGCAGCCGCGGUAAUACGUAGGGUGCAAGCGUUAAUCGGAAUUACUGGGCGUAAAGCGUGCGCAGGCGGUUAGGUAAGACAGAUGUGAAAUUCCCGGGCUCAACCUGGGAACUGCAUUUGUGACUGCCUGACUAGAGUGCGGCAGAGGUGAGUGGAAUUCCGCGUGUAGCAGUGAAAUGCGUAGAUAUGCGGAGGAACACCGAUGGCGAAGGCAACUCCCUGGGCCUGCACUGACGCUCAUGCACGAAAGCGUGGGGAGCAAACAGGAUUAGAUACCCUAGUAGUCUUG